UAGCGGCGAGCGAACGGGGAGGAGCCCAGAGCCUGAAUCAGCAUGUGUGUUAGUGGAAGCGUCUGGAAAGGCGCGCGAUACAGGGUGACAGCCCCGUACACAAAAGCGCAUGUGCUGUGAGCUCGAUGAGUAGGGCGGGACACGUGGUAUCCUGUCUGAAUAUGGGGGGACCAUCCUCCAAGGCUAAAUACUCCUGACUGACCGAUAGUGAACCAGUACCGUGAGGGAAAGGCGAAAAGAACCCCGGCGAGGGGAGUGAAAAAGAACCUGAAACCGUGUACGUACAAGCAGUGGGAGCACCCUUUGGGUGUGACUGCGUACCUUUUGUAUAAUGGGUCAGCGACUUAUAUUCUGUAGCAAGGUUAACCGAAUAGGGGAGCCGGAGGGAAACCGAGUCUUAACCGGGCGUUAAGUUGCAGGGUAUAGACCCGAAACCCGGUGAUCUAGCCAUGGGCAGGUUGAAGGUUGGGUAACACUAACUGGAGGACCGAACCGACUAAUGUUGAAAAAUUAGCGGAUGACCUGUGGCUGGGGGUGAAAGGCCAAUCAAACCGGGAGAUAGCUGGUUCUCCCCGAAAGCUAUUUAGGUAGCGCCUCGUGAAUUCAUCUCCGGGGGUAGAGCACUGUUUCGGCUAGGGGGCCAUCCCGGCUUACCAACCCGAUGCAAACUGCGAAUACCGGAGAAUGUUAUCACGGGAGACACACGGCGGGUGCUAACGUCCGUCGUGAAGAGGGAAACAACCCAGACCGCCAGCUAAGGUCCCAAAGUCAUGGUUAAGUGGGAAACGAUGUGGGAAGGCCCAGACAGCCAGGAUGUUGGCUUAGAAGCAGCCAUCAUUUAAAGAAAGCGUAAUAGCUCACUGGUCGAGUCGGCCUGCGCGGAAGAUGUAACGGGGCUAAACCAUGCACCGAAGCUGCGGCAGCGACACUGUGUGUUGUUGGGUAGGGGAGCGUUCUGUAAGCCUGUGAAGGUGUGUCGUGAGGCAUGCUGGAGGUAUCAGAAGUGCGAAUGCUGACAUAAGUAACGAUAAAGCGGGUGAAAAGCCCGCUCGCCGGAAGACCAAGGGUUCCUGUCCAACGUUAAUCGGGGCAGGGUGAGUCGACCCCUAAGGCGAGGCCGAAAGGCGUAGUCGAUGGGAAACGGGUUAAUAUUCCCGUACUUGGUGUUACUGCGAAGGGGGGACGGAGAAGGCUAUGUUGGCCGGGCGACGGUUGUCCCGGUU
rnacentral:rRNA from 1 species